rnacentral:rRNA from 1 species
UAGUCUGGGAUACCACUUGGAAACAGGUGCUAAUACCGGAUAAGAAAGCGGAUCGCAUGAUCAGCUUUUAAAAGGCGGCGUAAGCUGUCGCUAUGGGAUGGCCCCGCGGUGCAUUAGCUAGUUGGUAAGGUAAAGGCUUACCAAGGCGAUGAUGCAUAGCCGAGUUGAGAGACUGAUCGGCCACAUUGGGACUGAGACACGGCCCAAACUCCUACGGGAGACAGCAGCC